rnacentral:rRNA from 1 species
AGCAGCCGCGGUAAUUCCAGCUCCAAUAGCGUAUAUUAAAGUUGUUGCAGUUAAAAAGCUCGUAGUUGAAUUUCGGGAUCGAAUUGUUGGUCGUGCUUCGGUACGUACUGGCAUUAUUGGUUCCUACCUUCUGAAGAACCGCGAUGUCAUUAAUUUGGUGUCGUGGGGAAUCAGGACUGUUACUUUGAAAAAAUUAGAGUGUUUAAAGCAGGCGCACGCUUGAAUACAUUAGCAUGGAAUAAUGAAAUAGGACGUUUGAUUCUAUUUUGUUGGUUUCUAGGAUCGACGUAAUGAUUAAUAGGGAUAGUUGGGGGCAUUAGUAUUCAAUUGUCAGAGGUGAAAUUCUUGGAUUUAUUGAAGACUAACUACUGCGAAAGCAUUUGCCAAGGAUGUUUUCAUUAAUCAAGAACGAAAGUUAGGGGAUCGAAGACGAUCAGAUACCGUCGUAGUCUUAACCAUAAACUAUGCCGACUAGGGAUCGGAUGAUGUUAAUUUUUUAAUGACUC